ACAAAGGGCACUCUUACGCUGCUGUAAACCAGUGCCAGGAUUUUUAAAAUGUGAGACACCUGUUACCCUAGAGUGUGAAGAGGAGGAGAAAGGCUAAGAUCUUUUCCAAUGCAAAAUUAGGAAAAAAUAUACUAUAGGUAAGAUGGAGCAAGCAUGCUCUGCACCUUGUGUCUCCCUCAAAAUGUGGCUCUAGAACCUGGACAGGAUACAGCAGCUAUUUGAGGUCUCUGAAAAGCAAACAGUAACAUGCAAAAAGGGGAAGAGGACAGGAAUCUGAAGUAGCACCAAACCAAUGAUUUAUGAAAAAAUAAGAAGUGAAAGUAUUCUCUGACUGCAAGUAUGACCACCUGUCUUUCUAUAUCAGAACCCAAGCUAAAAGACUGCAUUUACUACCCUUCCUUGCUAACAAGAGUGACUAUGUGACUAUGUUCUGGCCAAUGCCAACAGCCUGAAAAGC
rnacentral:antisense_RNA from 1 species